CAGUCGCCGCGGUAAAACGUAGGGUGCAAGCGUUAAUCGGAAUUACUGGGCGUAAAGCGUGCGCAGGCGGUCCGUUAAGACAGAUGUGAAAUCCCCGGGCUUAACCUGGGAACUGCAUUUGUGACUGGCGGGCUAGAGUAUGGCAGAGGGGGGUAGAAUUCCACGUGUAGCAGUGAAAUGCGUAGAGAUGUGGAGGAAUACCGAUGGCGAAGGCAGCCCCCUGGGCCAAUACUGACGCUCAUGCACGAAAGCGUGGGGAGCAAACAGGAUUAGAUACCCCGGUAGUCCCUGUCUCUUAUAC
rnacentral:rRNA from 1 species